rnacentral:rRNA from 1 species
CCUACGGGUGGCUGCAGUAAGGAAUAUUGGUCAAUGGACGCAAGUCUGAACCAGCCAUGCCGCGUGGAGGAUGAAGGUCCUCUGGAUUGUAAACUUCUUUUAUUUGGGAAGAAACUCCCGAUUUCCAUCGGGAUUGACGGUACCAGGUGAAUAAGCACCGGCUAACUCCGAGCCAGCAGCCGCGGUAAUACGGAGGGUGCAAGCGUUAUCCGGAUUAAAGGGGUCUUAGGUGUGCAGGUAAGGGCGUGUUGAAAUCUACGGGCUUAACCCGGGAACUGCCAUUGAUACUAUUUGUCUUGAAUACUCUGGAGGUGAGCGGAAUAUGUCAUGUAGCGGUGAAAUGCUUAGAUAUGACAUAGAACACCCAUUGCGAAGGCAGCUCACUACGGAAAUAUUGACGCUGAGGCACGAAAGCGUGGGGAUCAAACAGGAUUAGAUACCCGUGUAGUC